rnacentral:rRNA from 1 species
UACGUAGGAGGCGAGCGUUGUCCGGAGUUAUUGGGCGUAAAGCGCGUGCAGGCGGCCUGGCAGGUGCGGUGUGAAAGCUCCCGGCUUAACUGGGAGAGGGCGCUGCAGACCACCGGGCUCGGAGGGCUGGAGAGGGAGAUGGAAUUCCCGGUGUAGCGGUGAAAUGCGUAGAGAUCGGGAGGAACACCAGUGGCGAAAGCGAUCUCCUGGACAGUCCCUGACGCUCAAGCGCGAAAGCGAGGGGAGCAAACGGG